rnacentral:rRNA from 1 species
UACGUAGGUGGCAAGCGUUGUCCGGAAUUAUUGGGCGUAAAGCGCGCGCAGGUGGUUUCUUAAGUCUGAUGUGAAAGCCCCCGGCUCAACUGGGGAGGGUCAUUCGAUACUGUUCGACUCGAAGGCAGGAGAGGGAAGCGGAAUUCCCGGUGUAGUGGUGAAAUGCGUAGAUAUCGGGAGGAACACCAGUGGCGAAGGCGGCUUCCUGGCCUGUUCUUGACGCUGAGGCGCGAAAGCUAGGGGAGCAAACGGG